GUGAUUCUGAGGCAGAGUCUUCUGGGGAGUGUUGGAAUAUCAACCCAAAAGGGUCUGCAAUAUGUACAUCAUCUUUUAUCCUGAAUUAACUCUUUCAGGUCCCUGCUGAAGAUGAGGAGGAAGAAUUACUGGUGAAAACCAGAAGUUUGAAAAUAUAAAUCCAAACUGCUCUUUUGUCUAGUGUUUUGGGAAACAAGGAAGAGGAAAUGAAAUCUAUGUUUUAAAAUUUUAUUAUUUCUGUUAUUGCACAUUCACAAUUCACUAUAU
rnacentral:lncRNA from 10 species